rnacentral:rRNA from 1 species
UGGGGAAUAUUGCACAAUGGACGGAAGUUUGAUUCAGCGACGCCGCGUGGAGGGUGUAGGCCUUCGGGUUGUGAACUCUUUUUUCUCGCGAAAAAGGCACAGUUUUGGCUGUGUUGAUGGUAGUGGGGGAAGAAGCGCCGGCUAACUAUGUGCCAGCAGCCGCGGUAAUACGUAGGGCGCGAGCGUUGUCCGGAUUUAUUGGGCGUAAAGAGCUCGUAGGUGGUUCGUCGCGUCUGUCGUGAAAGCCAGCAGCUUAACUGUUGGUCUGCGGUUGGUACGGGCGGGCUUGAAUGCGGUAGGGGUGACUGGAAUUCCUGGUGUAGCGGUGGAAUGCGCAGAUAUCAGGGGGAACACCGAUGGCGAAGGCAGGUCACUGGGCCGUUACUGACACUGAGGAGCGAAAGCGUGGGGAGCGAACAGG